UACGUAGGGUCCGAGCGUUGUCCGGAAUUAUUGGGCGUAAAGAGCUCGUAGGCGGUCUGUUGCGUCGGUUGUGAAAACCUGGGGCUCAACUCCAGGCCUGCAAUCGAUACGGGCAGACUAGAGUUCGGUAGGGGAGACUGGAAUUCCUGGUGUAGCGGUGAAAUGCGCAGAUAUCAGGAGGAACACCAGUGGCGAAGGCGAGUCUCUGGACAUUUCCUGACGCUGAGGCACGAAAGCCAGGGGAGCAAACGGG
rnacentral:rRNA from 1 species